GGCCUGAUGCCACGUCUCUGGUAGCUACAUGCUUUUACCCGAGAUGCUAUGAUCAGGCCGAUACAAAUUUGUUUCGCAUGUUGAUAGGAACCUGGGGACGGCUUCUCCAUCUGUCCCACAGAGCCGGUUUCUGUGAUCACAUUC
rfam:Zea mays cultivar B73 chromosome 4, whole genome shotgun sequence.